GUGCCAGCCGCCGCGGUAAUACCGGCAGCCCGAGUGAUGGCCGAUCUUAUUGGGCCUAAAGCGUCCGUAGCCGGCCGGACAAGUCCGUUGGGAAAUCCACGCGCCUAACGCGUGGGCGUCCAGCGGAAACUGUCCGGCUUGGGGCCGGAAGACCCGAGGGGUACGUCCGGGGUAGGAGUGAAAUCCCGUAAUCCUGGACGGACCGCCGGUGGCGAAAGCGCCUCGGGAGGACGGACCCGACGGUGAGGGACGGAAGCCAGGGUCUCCAACCGGAUUAAAAACCCGAGUAGUCC
rnacentral:rRNA from 1 species